AGCCAUAAGUUAUUAUUUAUGGUUUAACCUGCCCAAUGUGAAUAAAGUAAUAAAUGGCCGCGGUACCCUGACCGUGCUAAGGUAGCGUAAUCAGUUGGCUUUUAAAUGGAGUCAGGUAUGAAUGGAAGAACCGGGUUUAGCUGUCUCUUAACUAUUUUAUUGAAUUUACUGUUUAAGUGAAAAAGCUUAAUUAAAGAAGAGGGACGAGAAGACCCUUAGAAUUUAUUCAAAAGUAAAAGUUUAUAUUUUUAUAACGAUUUUGUUGGGGCGACAAAGAAAUAUAUUAUAACUUUCUCUUUUAAAACAUGCCGAUUAUAUUAAGCAAGAAAAAAUUACCUGAGGGAUAACAGCAUAAUUCAAUAGAUGAGUUUGUGACCUCGAUGUUGGACUAGGAAACCAAUGAAUUAGCCGUUUGUUGUGUUGGUUCUGUUCGAACUUAUAUUCC
rnacentral:rRNA from 1 species